rnacentral:rRNA from 1 species
AACGAACGCUGGCGGCAUGCCUAACACAUGCAAGUCGAACGAGACCUUCGGGUCUAGUGGCGCACGGGUGCGUAACGCGUGGGAACCUGCCCUUAGGUUCGGAAUAACUCCCCGAAAGGGGUGCUAAUACCGGAUAAUGUCUUCGGACCAAAGAUUUAUCGCCUUGGGAUGGGCCCGCGUUGGAUUAGCUAGUUGGUAGUGUAAAAGCCUACCAAGGCGACGAUCCAUAGCUGGUCUGAGAGGAUGAUCAGCCACACUGGGGCUGGGACACGGCGCAGACAUUUGAGAAAGGCAGCAGGGGGGAUCAUGGGACAAUGGGCGAGAGACUAAUGCAUUAGUGCUGUGUGAGUCAUGAAGGCGGUAGGGAAGUAAGGCGCUUAUACCCGGGAUGAUAAGGACAGUCCCGAAGAAAUAGGCCCCGGUUAACUCCGU